rfam:Ovis aries breed Texel chromosome 17, whole genome shotgun sequence.
UAGCUCAGUCGGUAAAGAAUCUGCCUGCAAUGCAGGAGACCCGGGUUCGAUUCCUGG